rnacentral:rRNA from 1 species
UACGGAGGGGGCGAGCGUUGUUCGGAUUUACUGGGCGUAAAGCGUGCGUAGGUGGCUUCCCAAGUAAGAAGUGAAAGCCCAGGGCUUAACCCUGGAAUUGCUUUUUAAACUGGGUCGCUAGAAUUUAGGAGAGGCAGAUGGAAUUCCGAGUGUAGAGGUGAAAUUCGUAGAUAUUCGGAGGAACACCAGUGGCGAAGGCGGCUCACUGGCUCGGUACUGACGCUGAGGUGCGAAAGCGUGGGGAGCAAACAGG